UGCGAGUCAUAUGUCCUUCGUGAACAUGGCGUACUGCUCAGUAACACGUGGAUAACCUGCCCUUGGGACCGGGAUAACCCCGGGAAACUGGGGAUAAUACCGGAUAACGCAUAUCUGCUGGAAUGCUUUAUGCGUAAAAUGGAUUUGUCUGCCCAAGGAUGGGUCUGCGGCCUAUCAGGUAGUAGUGGGUGUAAUGUACCUACUAGCCUACGAUGGGUACGGGUUGUGAGAGCAAGAGCCCGGAGAUGGAUUCUGAGACAUGAAUCCAGGCCCUACGGGGCGCAGCAGGCGCGAAAACUUUACAAUGCGGGAAACCGUGAUAAGGGGACACCGAGUGCCAGCAUCAUAUGUUGGCUGUCCAGAUGUGUAAAAUACAUCUGUUAGCAAGGGCCGGGCAAGACCGGUGCCAGCCGCCGCGGUAACACCGGCGGCCCGAGUGGUGAUCGUGAUUAUUGGGUCUAAAGGGUCCGUAGCCGGUUUGGUCAGUCCUCCGGGAAAUCUGACGGCUCAACCGUUAGGCUUUCGGUGGAUACUGCCAGACUUGGAACCGGGAGAGGUAAGAGGUACUACAGGGGUAGGAGUGAAAUCUUGUAAUCCCUGUGAGACCACCUGUGGCGA
rnacentral:rRNA from 1 species